AGCGAACGCUGGCGGCAGGCUUAGCACAUGCAAGUCGAGCGCCCCGCAAGGGGAGCGGCAGACGGGUGAGUAACACGUGGGAACGUGCCUUUUGGUUCGGAACAACCCAGGGAAACUUGGGCUAAUACCGGAUAAGCCCUUACGGGGAAAGAUUUAUCGCCAAAAGAUCGGCCCGCGUCUGAUUAGCUAGUUGGUGGGGUAAUGGCCCACCAAGGCUACGAUCAGUAGCUGGUCUGAGAGGAUGAUCAGCCACAUUGGGACCGAGACACGGCCCAAACUCCUACGGGAGGCAGCAGUGGGGAAUAUUGGACAAUGGGGGCAACCCUGAUCCAGCCAUGCCGCGUGAGUGAUGAAGGCCUUAGGGUUGUAAAGCUCUUUUAGCAGGGAAGAUAAUGACGGUACCUGCAGAGAAAGCCCCGGCUAACUUCGUGCCAGCCGCCGCCGUAA
rnacentral:rRNA from 1 species